AACGGAUAAGGAGCUUGCUCCUUUGAAGUUAGCGGCGGACGGGUGAGUAACACGUGGGUAACCUACCUAUAAGACUGGAAUAACUUCGGGAAACCGGAGCUAAUGCCGGAUAACAUUUGGAACCGCAUGGUUCUAAAGUAAAAGAUGGUUUUGCUAUCACUUAUAGAUGGACCCGCGCCGUAUUAGCUAGUUGGUAAGGUAACGGCUUACCAAGGCAACGAUACGUAGCCGACCUGAGAGGGUGAUCGGCCACACUGGAACUGAGACACGGUCCAGACUCCUACGGGAGGCAGCAGUAGGGAAUCUUCCGCAAUGGACGAAAGUCUGACGGAGCAACGCCGCGUGAGUGAUGAAGGUUUUCGGAUCGUAAAACUCUGUUAUUAGGGAAGAACAAAUGUGUAAGUAACUGUGCACAUCUUGACGGUACCUAAUCAGAAAGCCACGGCUAACUACGUGCCAGCAGCCGCGGUAAUACGUAGGUGGCAAGCGUUAUCCGGAAUUAUUGGGCGUAAAGCGCGCGUAGGCGGUUUCUUAAGUCUGAUGUGAAAGCCCACGGCUCAACCGUGGAGGGUCAUUGGAAACUGGGAAACUUGAGUACAGAAGAGGAAAGUGGAAUUCCAUGUGUAGCGGUGAAAUGCGCAGAGAUAUGGAGGAACACCAGUGGCGAAGGCGACUUUCUGGUCUGUAACUGACGCUGAUGUGCGAAAGCGUGGGGAUCAAACAGGAUUAGAUACCCUGGUAGUCCACGCCGUAAACGAUGAGU
rnacentral:rRNA from 1 species